GUUUCAUACUUCAUCAUACUUUUUAUAGAUGCUAUCGUAGACGUUUUAGUGCUCAGUCAAGAACAACGGUAAACGAAAGCAUUCUAACGGCACCAACGACGAUCCAAGAUAAGACAGUUGCACGAACGAAGUGUCCAGUGCAAGUUGCAUGGCAGUGCUGGCCCUGGUCGUGGCAGUCCGAGUACCGGUCGAUGUACAGCAGCACGUGCAGCACCAGGAACGAGGCGGCCACGAAGCACAGGAUCCCGCUCAGGCUGCUCAGGGCGAAGCUCACGGCCUGCGAGUGAAGCACAGGCAGCACCAUGACACCACGCACGCGUAGUCCGCGGUCUACCCGCGCAGGCGACACUCGACGCGCCAGGCCAAUGAGCGGACUUUCUUUCGGCUGCCAAGACAGACUGACGGAAGACCGCCAGGCGUCCACCGACCACUUCGAUUUUCCGCCUCUUGGCGGGAAAACGGCUUGAAGUCGGCGCAAAUGGAAGAAAGUGCCUAAUUUUUGUUUUUGUUUUUUAAUGCAGCAUUAAACGAGAAAGCAGAGCGCGCAUAAAUUUGUAUCUU